GAGGCCCCUGGAAGAUGGUGACACAUUUGGUGGAAGAAAUCUGAGUGCUCACGUCACAGCGGAAGGCCACCCACCAAACACCCCCUAUAUCCAGACCUAAGUGAGAAAGAACCUGAGCUCUCUAGGAUCCUUUGCUCUAUAUACCAACUACCUUCUCUGACUAAUACAUCCUUGCCCGUGGCCGCCUCUCCAUUCCAGUGACGGUCAGUGCUCUCUGCUGCUUCCCACACCACUGAUGCAGGGGAUAGAGGCCACUUACAGUCAAAAUCCAGUCCUCAUCCAACAGAAAACUCACCCAGGCAAAAUCAGAUCAUCUUUAGAUUCCCUGGGAGAUUUAAGACCUGUUUUUUAUUUCUAUGGGGAAACUUGGGGGCAUGUGCUAAUUCAAAUAACUGAAAAGGAAAAUGCACUUUUGGCAGCCCAGUACCAAUAGUUCUCAAGGUGAGUUGCAAAUAGAAAACAGUUUGGGUCUGUCAAGUGAGGAGAGGUUAAGAAGGGCAUCUAUACCUCUUUUGGAAGGUACAGACAAAGGAAGCAGAGUGCCAACACGGAUCACUGUUCCUUCGUAUAUUUUAUUCUUAGCAAUGUCCAACACUUCCACAGGUUGCUUUAAAACCAUGAUUCCUGGGACUCACAAUAUCCUUCCGUUCAAAAGCCUCUCACUCAUCUGUCUUAACAUCUAAAAUCUCUGUUAACAGGCACAAUAAUGAUUCCCUACUAUAUGGCAGAUAUUGGCCUACAUGUCAUGCAAACACUACCUUAUUUAAUUUUCAUGACUCACAUCCAUUUAUAAAUGAGGGACUUGAGCCUAAGACAGGGCAAACCCCUUGUGACAAGUCACACUGCUAAUAAGUGGCCAAGUCGGGGCUUGGACCCCAGUUCAAGGAUCUCUGUGGCCUACCUCUUCAUGGCUAUGCCAUGUGGUAAACCUGCUGGCUGGGAAGCUGCUGGCAUUGUCUGGACCAGCAGGGUCUCUCAGGAAGGAGACACUGAAGAGUGGAGAAAGGGGAGGUGGGGAAGGUUUGGAGGAUACAGCAGCACCCUCUCAAAGCAGGCGGGUCUGGGUGGGGCACCUUGAUGAGAACUCUGUGGGGGCCACAUGGAAACACUAGGCUUUG
rnacentral:lncRNA from 1 species